rnacentral:rRNA from 1 species
UAUUAUGAGAGUUUGAUCCUGGCUCAGGACGAACGCUGGCGGCGUGCCUAAUACAUGCAAGUCGUACGCUUCUUUUUCCACCGGAGCUUGCUCCACCGGAAAAAGAAGAGUGGCGAACGGGUGAGUAACACGUGGGUAACCUGCCCAUCAGAAGGGGAUAACACUUGGAAACAGGUGCUAAUACCGUAUAACAAUCGAAACCGCAUGGUUUUGAUUUGAAAGGCGCUUUCGGGUGUCGCUGAUGGAUGGACCCGCGGUGCAUUAGCUAGUUGGUGAGGUAACGGCUCACCAAGGCCACGAUGCAUAGCCGACCUGAGAGGGUGAUCGGCCACAUUGGGACUGAGACACGGCCCAAACUCCUACGGGAGGCAGCAGUAGGGAAUCUUCGGCAAUGGACGAAAGUCUGACCGAGCAACGCCGCGUGAGUGAAGAAGGUUUUCGGAUCGUAAAACUCUGUUGUUAGAGAAGAACAAGGAUGAGAGUAACUGUUCAUCCCUUGACGGUAUCUAACCAGAAAGCCACGGCUAACUACGUGCCAGCAGCCGCGGUAAUACGUAGGUGGCAAGCGUUGUCCGGAUUUAUUGGGCGUAAAGCGAGCGCAGGCGGUUUCUUAAGUCUGAUGUGAAAGCCCCCGGCUCAACCGGGGAGGGUCAUUGGAAACUGGGAGACUUGAGUGCAGAAGAGGAGAGUGGAAUUCCAUGUGUAGCGGUGAAAUGCGUAGAUAUAUGGAGGAACACCAGUGGCGAAGGCGGCUCUCUGGUCUGUAACUGACGCUGAGGCUCGAAAGCGUGGGGAGCAAACAGGAUUAGAUACCCUGGUAGUCCACGCCGUAAACGAUGAGUGCUAAGUGUUGGAGGGUUUCCGCCCUUCAGUGCUGCAGCUAACGCAUUAAGCACUCCGCCUGGGGAGUACGACCGCAAGGUUGAAACUCAAAGGAAUUGACGGGGGCCCGCACAAGCGGUGGAGCAUGUGGUUUAAUUCGAAGCAACGCGAAGAACCUUACCAGGUCUUGACAUCCUUUGACCACUCUAGAGAUAGAGCUUCCCCUUCGGGGGCAAAGUGACAGGUGGUGCAUGGUUGUCGUCAGCUCGUGUCGUGAGAUGUUGGGUUAAGUCCCGCAACGAGCGCAACCCUUAUUGUUAGUUGCCAUCAUUCAGUUGGGCACUCUAGCAAGACUGCCGGUGACAAACCGGAGGAAGGUGGGGAUGACGUCAAAUCAUCAUGCCCCUUAUGACCUGGGCUACACACGUGCUACAAUGGGAAGUACAACGAGUCGCGAAGUCGCGAGGCUAAGCUAAUCUCUUAAAGCUUCUCUCAGUUCGGAUUGUAGGCUGCAACUCGCCUACAUGAAGCCGGAAUCGCUAGUAAUCGCGGAUCAGCACGCCGCGGUGAAUACGUUCCCGGGCCUUGUACACACCGCCCGUCACACCACGAGAGUUUGUAACACCCGAAGUCGGUGAGGUAACCUUUUUGGAGCCAGCCGCCUAAGGUGGGAUAGAUGAUUGGGGUGAAGUCGUAACAAGGUAGCCGUAUCGGAAGGUGCGGCUGGAUCACCUCCUUU